UACGGAGGAUGCAAGCGUUUAUCCGGAAUGAUUGGGCGUAAAGCGUCCGCAGGUGGCUGUGUAAGUCUGCUGUCAAAGAGCGAAGCUCAACUUCGUAAAGGCAGUGGAAACUACACGGCUAGAGUGCGUUCGGGGCAGAGGGAAGUUCCUGGUGUAGCGGUGAAAUGCGUAGAGAUCAGGAAGAACACCGGUGGCGAAGGCGCUCUGCUAGGCCGCAACUGACACUGAGGGACGAAAGCUAGGGGAGCGAAUGGG
rnacentral:rRNA from 1 species